UUUGGGUAUUUUGGUAACUACGCUGCCGAAGAACAAUAUUCAUCAUUGUCCAGCUGUUUCAUAACUUUGACAAUAUUCAUAAGGAGCUAAAAGCGUAUAAAUAAUGAAAUAAAGUCGUCAACAAUGGCAAAAGCAUUUCAAAGUUUUCUUCUUGUGUGUUUUUUGGCACAGGCUUAUGCAUAUAGAAAUUGUCGAAUCUACCACGAUCAUGGAAAUAAAUAUACUGAAUUGAAAUGCUCAAGCUCUGAGUAUUGCUGUGACCAUGGUUGUUGUCGUAAAGUUUACACCAUCUGGUAUUUUUGGACAUUGCUUUUGUUUGGUUUAUUUGUUGGAAUAAUUUUUUGCUGGUGGUACAAAGCAUAUAAACAUCGACAACGUACAACUAUUGUUCAACGCAAUGUUAUCCCAAUGCAUGUUGUAAAUCCAUAUCCACCUUCCCAUCCACCUAUACAUGGGGGCAACUCACAGGCAGUACCUGGCUACCCAGCAUAUGCCUCAUAUGCCUUCGCCCCUCCUCCAUAUUCAGUGGCCAUGAACCAACCAACAGCCCCACCACCAAACUAUUUUCCACCAAACCAGGCACCAAAAAACCAGUAAUUUACAGGGGAAGACAUUGAACAUUAUCUAGAGUUAUUUUAAAGAUAUAAUUGCACUUGUUAAUGUUGAACAUUUAAUCGGUGCUGGGCACUCACUGGUUUGACUGUAAAAUAUUUUAUGCAAAAAAAUUUUUCUCACUGUUUGACAUUUUCCCCACCGAAUUAUUUCAACUAUUAUUCUUAAUGCUGCGCCAUUACGAACAAACAAUGAGUUUGUGGGCUUUCCAUCUAAUCAGUAUGAUUUAGUAUUCAGUUUGCAUCAAGAAUUGUAGUAUUCAGUUUGCAUCAGGAAUAGUAGUAUUCUAUUGCAAAUGUAGCAGGCAACAUUUGCAAUGCUAGUGUGUGAGCAAGGUCUAAUUUAAAAAGGAGCAUUAAUACCUUCAGGUUGACAUUCAGUUAUCACACAGAAAUGGGUUUCAAGAUUAAAAUGUUAGUGAUGACUUCUACAGAGUAAACACAACCUAAAAGUCUCUAAUGCCAGAUUAUCAAAAUAUUCUUACCUCUUAUUAAUCAAUACCAUGACUUCUAUUCCAGUGCAACUUUUUUAUCUCUCCUAAAUAUCUUAUGUAACACAUAAACGUCUUAUGUAACACUGUAAAUAAAUGAAGUAAAAAACUAUGAUC